UAGGCGACGAUCCCUAGCUGGUCUGAGAGGAUGACCAGCCACACUGGAACUGAGACACGGUCCAGACUCCUACGGGAGGCAGCAGUGGGGAAUAUUGCACAAUGGGCCGCAGCCUGAUGCAGCCAUGCCGCGUGUAUGAGAAGGCCUUCGGGUUGUAAAGUACUUUCAGCGGGGAGGAAGGGAGUAAAGUUAAUACCUUUGCUCAUUGACGUUACCCGCAGAAGAAGCACCGGCUAACUCCGUGCCAGCAGCCGCGGUAAUACGGAGGGUGCAAGCGUUAAUCGGAAUUACUGGGCGUA
rnacentral:rRNA from 1 species